AUAACUAGUAUACUCCUUUUCCUAAAUACACAAACAAAUACACACUUUCUUUUAAAAGUAAACCAACAGAAAAAUAAUCUCCUUCGCUAAAACCAUCGGAUUCUCCGUCUCUCUCUCUACUGUGUUUUAUUUAAAAGAACAUCCUCAAAACUGCAAAAACAAGAAUCUCCAAAUCCAUCUUCCUCCAUACCAUUUUUUCCCACAAAAGGGCAAGAACACAAACCCAAAACAGAGGCUAGAGGUCACGCAAAUUUGCUGCUGCUGCCAACAUCUCUCCUACGAAGCAGCCCAGUUUCCACCCCGCAAUUUCAGUACGAUGGUGUAGGAUGUAUGAAUGCACAAAUAUGAAAAUAGGUUUGGGUGGGAGAGGUGGUUACCUCCGGUAACAGAUCAUAGAAAACAAAGGAUCAGGCAAUAAGGAUUGUGUUUUUCCGUUCCUUUCUGGAUUUGAUUCCUGGUUCCAUCAAACAAAACAAAUAUGGUGUGUCAAAGGGGAUUUAUCUUGUGGGAGAGAAGAAUGAGAUUUAUCUUGUGAGAUUACCUUUGGAGAUGUGAAAUCAAACUCUUGCUUCAAUGCUUUGCUCUCCAGUUGAGAAUUUAUAGAAAACGUGAUGGCUGCGAGAGAAAUAUAGGUAGACUGUGAAUGAAUUGGGUACUGAGAAUGGGUUUAUAUACCGUGUUUUGCAGAAGAAAUUUUGAUAAUUGAUUCUCAGGAAUUAAAGGUGAUUGGGGUUUA